UACGUCCAAAUCAUGUUGAAACAUCGGUUCCCGUUCGAUUACCGAAGUUAAGCAACGUCGAUCUUGGUCAGUACCUAGAUGGGUGACCGCUUGGGAAUACCAGAUGCUGUAAU